GCCGCUCCCCGGACGGCCGCAGUCGGGCGCAAGCCCGGUUGAGGAAAGUCCGGACACCAUAGGGCAACGCGCCUCGUGAAAACGGGGGACGGAAGCGUCAAGGCUUCCGGACGGAAAGUGCAGCAGAGAACAUACCGCCGAUGGCCCGCAAGGGAUCAGGUAAGGGUGAAACGGUGGGGUAAGAGCCCACCGCCCGAAGGGUAACCGACGGGGCACGGCAAACCCCGCGUGGUGCAAGACAGAACAGGGGAAGGGUAGCCCGCCCGCCAAUCUCCGGGUAUUAGUCGCAUCCCGCGCAAGCGGGGUCCUGCGAAAACAGGAAGAGAAAUGGCCGUCCAGUCCCUCCGGGGAUGGACAGAAUCCGGCUUACAGGGGGGCGGCACCU
rnacentral:RNase_P_RNA from 1 species